AUUAACGACUCACUCCUACAAAAUCCGGCCUUCACAGGCCAAGUAGAGACGGCCCUCAAACAUUACUUUGCGGAAAACUCCACCCCUGGUAUGUCCCCAAUGUGGCAGGCGCACAAAUCGGUGGUGAGGGGGCUACUCAUACAACGAGCAGCCACAUUGCGCAAAACCUCAGUGCCCAACUGCAAAAGUGGCAGACAGAGCUGUACGCCUUAAAUGUGCAAAACCAAAUGUCACCUUCUGCCUCUCUAAGAGA